UACGAAGGGACCUAGCGUAGUUCGGAAUUACUGGGCUUAAAGAGUUCGUAGGUGGUUGAAAAAGUUGGUGGUGAAAUCCCAGAGCUUAACUCUGGAACUGCCAUCAAAACUUUUCAGCUAGAGUAUGAUAGAGGAAAGCAGAAUUUCUAGUGUAGAGGUGAAAUUCGUAGAUGUUAGAAAGAAUACCAAUUGCGAAGGCAGCUUUCUGGAUCAUUACUGACACUGAGGAACGAAAGCAUGGGUAGCGAAGAGGAUUAGAUACCCUCGUAGUCCAUGCCGUAAACGAUGUGUGUUAGACGUUGGAAAUUUAUUUUCAGUGUCGCAGCGAAAGCGAUAAACACACCGCCUGGGGAGUACGACCGCAAGGUUAAAACUCAAAUGAAUUGACGGGGACCCGCACAAGUAGUGGAGCAUGUGGUUUAAUUCGAAGAUACGCGCAGAACCUUACCAACACUUGACAUGUUCGUCGCGACUCUAAGAGAUUAGAGUUUUCGGUUCGGCCGGACGAAACACAGGUGCUGCAUGGCUGCCGUCAGCUCGUGUCGUGAGAUGUUGGGUUAAGUCCCGCAACGAGCGCAACCCUCACUUUUAGUUGCCAUCAUUAAGUUGGGCACUCUGAAAGAACUGCCAGUGAUAAGCUGGAGGAAGGUGGGGAUGACGUCAAGUCCUCAUGGCCCUUACGUGUUGGGCUACACACGUGCUACAAUGGUAUCUACAACAGGAAGCAAGACUGCGAAGUUAAGCAAAUCCCUAAAAGAUACCUCAGUUCGGAUUGCACUCUGCAACUCGAGUGCAUGAAGCUGGAAUUACUAGUAAUCGUGGAUCAGCGUGCCACGGUGAAUGCGUUCCCGGGUCU
rnacentral:rRNA from 1 species